UGCGUAGGCGGGCUAAUAAGUCAGUGGUGAAAUCUUCCGGCUCAACCGGGAACCUGCCAUUGAUACUGUUAGUCUUGAGUUCGGUUGAGGUAGGCGGAAUGUGUAAUGUAGCGGUGAAAUGCUUAGAUAUUACACAGAACACCAAUUGCGUAGGCAGCUUACUAGACCGACACUGACGCUGAGGCACGAAAGCGCGGGGAGCGAACAGGAUUAGAUACCCUGGUAGUCC
rnacentral:rRNA from 1 species